GUGACCUGCAGAUGGAUCAUUUC
rnacentral:rRNA from 1 species